rnacentral:rRNA from 1 species
GAACGACAACAGGGAUUGCCUCAGUAACGGCGAGUGAAGCGGCAACAGCUCAAAUUUGAAACCUGCCAACCGGCCGGAUUGUAAUUUGUAGAGGAUGCUUUGGAGUCAGCACUGAUCUAAGUUUCUUGGAACAGUACGUCACAGAGGGUGAGAAUCCCGUUCGUGGUCGGCUGCUGGCUUCGUGUAAAGCUCCUUCGACGAGUCGAGUUGUUUGGGAAUGCAGCUCAAAAUGGGUGGUAAAUUUCAUCUAAAGCUAAAUAUUGGCCAGAGACCGAUAGCGCACAAGUAGAGUGAUCGAAAGAUGAAAAGCACUUUGGAAAGAGAGUUAAACAGCACGUGAAAUUGUUGAAAGGGAAGCGCUUGCAAUCAGACUUGCGCGUAGGUAAUCAAGGGCGGUUCGCUGCCCUGCACUUGCCUGCGCUCAGGCCAGCAUCAGUUUUGGGGGUGGGAUAAAGGCCGUGGGAAUGUGGCUCUUCGGAGUGUUAUAGCCCUCGGUGCCAUGCCGCCUCCCGAGACUGAGGACCGCGCUUCGGCUAGGAUGCUGGCGUAAUGAUUGUAAGCGACCCGUCUUGAAACACGGACCAAGGAGUCUAACAUCUAUGCGAGUGUUUGGGUGUCAAACCCACACGCGGAAUGAAAGUGAACGGAGGUGAGAGCCCUUGAGGGUGCAUCAUCGACCGAUCCUGAUGUCUUCGGAUGGAUUUGAGUAUGAGCAUAGCUGUUGGGACCCGAAAGAUGGUGAACUAUGCCUGAAUAGGGUGAAGCCAGAGGAAACUCUGGUGGAGGCUCGCAGCGGUUCUGACGUGCAAAUCGAUCGUCAAAUUUGGGCAUAGGGGCGAAAGACUAAUCGAACCAUC